rnacentral:rRNA from 1 species
GAUGAACGCUGACAGAAUGCUUAACACAUGCAAGUCUACUUGAUUUAUGGUUUCGGCUAUAAUGAAGGUGGCGGACGGGUGAGUAACGCGUAAAGAAUCUGCCUUUUAGUCUGGGAUAACAGUUGGAAACGACUGCUAAUACCGGAUAUUAUGGAACUGUCGCAUGACAGUACUAUGAAAGCUAUAUGCGCUAGAAGAGGACUUUGCGUCCCAUUAGCUAGUUGGUGAGGUAACGGCUCACCAAGGCGACGAUGGGUAGCCGGCCUGAGAGGGUGAUCGGCCACAAGGGAACUGAGACACGGUCCUUACUCCUACGGGAGGCAGCAGUGGGGAAUAUUGGACAAUGGACCAAAAGUCUGAUCCAGCAAUUCUGUGUGCACGAUGAAGGUCUUCGGAUUGUAAAGUGCUUUCAGUAGGGAAGAAAAAAAUAGACGGUACCUACAGAAGAAGCGACGGCUAAAUAUAGUGCCAGCAGCCGCGGUAA